CCUACGGGAGGCAGCAGUGAGGAAUAUUGGUCAAUGGACGGAGGCCUGAACCAGCCAAGUCGCGUGCAGGAUGACGGCCCUACGAGUUGUAAACCGCUUUUGUCCGAGAAUAAUAGUUCUUACGCGUAGGGACCUGAAUGUAUCGCACGAAUAAGGCUCGGCGAACUCCGUGCCAGCAGCCGCGGUAAUACGGAGGAUUCGAGCGUUUUGCGGAUUUAUUGGGUUUAAAGGGUGCGUAGGCGGUCAGUGAAGUCAGAGGUAAAAGGGCGGGGCUUAACCCCGGGCCGGCGUCGGAAAUGGGUGCCUUGAGUGGGCGAGAAGUAUGAGGAAUGCGUGGUGUAGCGGUGAAAUGCAUAGAUAUCACGCAGAA
rnacentral:rRNA from 1 species